rnacentral:rRNA from 1 species
GAUGAACGCUGGCGGCGUGCCUAAUACAUGCAAGUCGAGCGAACGGACGAGAAGCUUGCUUCUCUGAUGUUAGCGGCGGACGGGUGAGUAACACGUGGAUAACCUACCUAUAAGACUGGGAUAACUUCGGGAAACCGGAGCUAAUACCGGAUAAUAUUUUGAACCGCAUGGUUCAAAAGUGAAAGAUGGUCUUGCUGUCACUUAUAGAUGGAUCCGCGCUGCAUUAGCUAGUUGGUAAGGUAACGGCUUACCAAGGCAACGAUGCAUAGCCGACCUGAGAGGGUGAUCGGCCACACUGGAACUGAGACACGGUCCAGACUCCUACGGGAGGCAGCAGUAGGGAAUCUUCCGCAAAGGGCGAAAGCCUGACGGAGCAACGCCGCGUGAGUGAUGAAGGUCUUCGGAUCGUAAAACUCUGUUAUUAGGGAAGAACAUAUGUGUAAGUAACUGUGCACAUCUUGACGGUACCUAAUCAGAAAGCCACGGCUAACUACGUG